rnacentral:rRNA from 1 species
CCUCGCGUCCGAUUAGCUAGUUGGUGAGGUAAUGGCCCACCAAGGCAACGAUCGGUAGCCGGACUGAGAGGUUGAACGGCCACAUUGGGACUGAGACACGGCCCAGACUCCUACGGGAGGCAGCAGUGGGGAAUAUUGCACAAUGGGGGAAACCCUGAUGCAGCGACGCCGCGUGGAGGAAGAAGGUCUUCGGAUUGUAAACUCCUGUUGUUGAGGAAGAUAAUGACGGUACUCAACAAGGAAGUGACGGCUAACUACGUGCCAGCAGCCGCGGUAAAACGUAGGUCACAAGCGUUGUCCGGAAUUACUGGGUGUAAAGGGAGCGCAGGCGGGAAGACAAGUUGGAAGUGAAAUCCAUGGGCUCAACCCAUGAACUGCUUUCAAAACUGUUUUUCUUGAGUAGUGCAGAGGUAGGCGGAAUUCCCGGUGUAGCGGUGGAAUGCGUAGAUAUCGGGAGGAACACCAGUGGCGAAGGCGGCCUACUGGGCACCAACUGACGCUGAGGCUCGAAAGUGUGGGUAGCAAACAGGAUUAGAUACCCUGGUAGUCCACACCGUAAACGAUGAUUACUAGGUGUUGGAGGAUUGACCCCUUCAGUGCCGCAG